AAUUUUCGGCAAUGGGGGCAACCCUGACCUAGCGAUGCCUCGUGAGUGAAUAAUGACUUCGGAUUGUAAAGCUCUGUUGUAUGUGAAGAACCGUACCAUUAUGUAUUUACUGCUACCUGACUGUACCUUCCUAGUCAGCCUCUGCUACUCACAUCCUGUCAGCCGCGGUAAUACGUAGGUGGCAAGCGUUAUCCGGAAUUAUUGGGCGUAAAGGGAGCGCAGGCGGCUUAUUAAGUCUGAGGUUAAAGUUCGGGGCACAACCCCGUGAGGCCUUAGGAACUGGUAGACUAGAGUGCAAGAGAGGUGAGUGGAAUGCCAUGUGUAGCGGUAAAAUGCGUAGAUAUAUGGAGGAACACCAGUGGCGAAGGCGGCUCACUGGCCUGUAACUGACGCUGAGGCUCGAAAGCGUGGGGAGCAAAUA
rnacentral:rRNA from 1 species